UCAGAAAAGAGAGCCCUCUACUUUUGUCCCCUCUCACCUGUAACUCCCAAAGCUACCAUUCUUAUAAACUAUUUUCUG
rnacentral:tRNA from 1 species